rnacentral:rRNA from 1 species
GACGAACGCUGGCGGCGUGCUUAACACAUGCAAGUCGAACGGAAAGGCCCUGCUUUUGUGGGGUGCUCGAGUGGCGAACGGGUGAGUAACACGUGAGUAACCUGCCCUUGACUUUGGGAUAACUUCAGGAAACUGGGGCUAAUACCGGAUAGGAGCUCCAGCUGCAUGGUGGGGGUUGGAAAGUUUCGGCGGUUGGGGAUGGACUCGCGGCUUAUCAGCUUGUUGGUGGGGUAGUGGCUUACCAAGGCUUUGACGGGUAGCCGGCCUGAGAGGGUGACCGGCCACAUUGGGACUGAGAUACGGCCCAGACUACUACGGGAGGCAGCAGUGGGGAAUAUUGCACAAUGGGCGGAAGCCUGAUGCAGCAACGCCGCGUGCGGGAUGACGGCCUUCGGGUUGUAAACCGCUUUCGCCUGUGACGAAGCGUGAGUGACGGUAAUGGGUAAAGAAGCACCGGCUAACUACGUG